GCAGCACACCUAAAUACCCUAAAGGCACCAAAUCCCAUCUGAUCUUGAAAACUAAGCAGGGUCAGCUGUGGUUAGAAUUUGGAUGGGAGACCAUGAAUGAAUAGUGAGUGCUAUA
rnacentral:rRNA from 1 species